GACGAACGCUGGCGGCGUGCCUAAUACAUGCAAGUAGAACGCUGAAGGAGGAGCUUGCUUCUCUGGAUGAGUUGCGAACGGGUGAGUAACGCGUAGGUAACCUGCCUGGUAGCGGGGGAUAACUAUUGGAAACGAUAGCUAAUACCGCAUCAUAGCAGUUGUUGCAUGACAACUGUUUGAAAGGUGCAAUUGCACCACUACCAGAUGGACCUGCGUUGUAUUAGCUAGUUGGUGGGGUAACGGCUCACCAAGGCGACGAUACAUAGCCGACCUGGGAGGGUGAACGGCCACACUGGGACUGAGACACAGCCCAGGCUCCUACGGGAGGCAGCAGGAGGGGAUCUUCGGCAAUGGACGGAAGUCUGACCGAGCAACGCCGCGUGAGAGAAGAAGGUUUUCGGAUCGUAAAGCUAUGUUGUGAGAGAAGAACGAGUGUGAGGGUAGAAAGUUCACACUGUGACGGUAUCUUACCAGAAAGGGACGGCUAACUACGUG
rnacentral:rRNA from 1 species